CAGRUGGUGCAUGGUUGUCGUCCAGCUCGUGUACHGAAAAAAAAAGGGUAARUACCCGCAACGAGCGCRACCCUCGUUCUAUGUUGYCCAGCGCGUUAUGGCGGGGACUCAUAGGAGAACUGCCGGGGUCAAMUCGGAGGAAGGUUGGGGACGACGUCAAAUCAUCAUGCCCCCUUAUGUCCUUGGGCUUUCACGCAUGCUACAAUGGCCGGUACAAAGGGUUGCGAUACUGUGAGGUGGAGCUAAUCCCAAAAAGCCGGUCUCAGUUCGGAUUGGGAUCUGCAACUCGACCUCAUGAAGUCG
rnacentral:rRNA from 1 species